UGGUGAGAAGAGCUACGGGGGUACACCCAGAAACAUUCCGAACCUGGAAGUUAAGCCCGUAAACGCUGAAAGUACUUGGAGGGAAGCCUCCUGGGAGGAUAGGAACUUGCCAAGCU
rnacentral:rRNA from 1 species